rnacentral:rRNA from 1 species
AAGUCGUAACAAGGUUUCCGUAGGUGAACCUGCGGAAGGAUCAUUAUUGAAAUAAACUUGAACAGGCUGUUGCUGGUCUCUCCCUGGAGAGGCAUGUGCACGCUUGUCAUCUUUAUCAUUUCUCCAACUGUGCACAUAUUGUAGACCUGGGAGCCUUUUGGAAUUCGUUCCGAGUCGGGACUGCUGCGCUUCUUUUUCAAGAGGUCGGCUUUUCCUUGCAUUUUUCAGGUCUAUGUUCAUUUCUUCACAAUGUGUUUAGAAUGGUUGAAUCAUAAUAAAGUUUAUACAACUUUCAGCAACGGAUCUCUUGGCUCUCGCAUCGAUGAAGAACGCAGCGAAAUGCGAUAAGUAAUGUGAAUUGCAGAAUUCAGUGAAUCAUCGAAUCUUUGAACGCAUCUUGCGCUCCUUGGUAUUCCGAGGAGCAUGCCUGUUUGAGUGUCAUUUAACUUCUCAACCACAUUGGAUUCCAAUGUGGCUUGGAUGUGGGGGUUUAUGCAGGCCUCUGAAUGAGGUGGUCGGCUCCCCUGAAAUGCAUUAGUGGUAUCUGAGCAGAACUACUAUACCAUUAGGUGUGAUAAUUUAUCUAUGCCUUUGGUGUGCUGCAUGAACAGAUUGCGCUGCUUCCAACAAUUUAUUUUUGACGAAUUUGACCUCAAAUCAGGUAGGACUACCCGCUGAACUUAA